rnacentral:rRNA from 1 species
AAGUUUAUUUGAUUACAAGGUAUUGAAUAAGGUUUUAAUUGAAUGCUAAAAGAAUGGAAUAUCAAAGAAUAACUUUCUUAAAAUUAAAAAUUGAAAUUUUUUUAAUUUGUGUAAAAACAAUUAUAUAAAUUAAAGACAAGAAGACCCUAAGAAUUUUUAAAAUUUAAAUUAACACAUUUUUGUUUUAAUUAAAUUUUAACUGGGGCGGUUAAAAAAUAUUAAAAACUUUUUAAUUUUGAAAAUGACCCAUUAUUAAUGAAAAUAUGAUAAAAUACUCUAGGGAUAACAGCGUUAUAUUUUUUGAUAGAUCAUAUUGACAAAAAAGUUUGCGACCUCGAUGUUGGAUUAGGAUACUUUUUUAAUGAAGAUAUUAAAAUAAGAAGUUUGUUCAACUUUUAAAUUCCUACAUGAUCUGAGUUUAGACCGA